rnacentral:misc_RNA from 1 species
UGCGACCCAGUGCCAUGACCCCAUUUAAGGG